rfam:Sus scrofa isolate TJ Tabasco breed Duroc chromosome 18, whole genome shotgun sequence.
UGGAAAGUUCAUUGUUCGACACCAUGGAUCCCCAGGUGGGUCACGUUUCAAGAUACACCAACCUGGAGGACUCCAUGCUGUUGAGCUGUUCACAA